rnacentral:tRNA from 1 species
GGCGAGAUGCCGGAGUGGACGAACGGGGCUGUCUUGAAAACAGCUGUCGCUUUCAGGCGACCGGGGGUUCGAAUCCCUCUCUCGCCGCCA